rnacentral:rRNA from 1 species
AUUGAACGCUGGCGGCAGGCCUAACACAUGCAAGUCGAGCGAGCGGCGGACGGGUGAGUAAUGUCUGGGGCCUGCCCGAUAGAGGGGGAUAACUACUGGAAACGGUAGCUAAUACCGCAUACCAUCGGAUAACCCAGAUGGGCUUAGCUAGUAGGUGAGGUAAUGGCUCACCUAGGCGACGAUCCCUAGCUGGUCUGAGAGGAUGACCAGCCACACUGGGACUGAGACACGGCCCAGACUCCUACGGAGGCAGCAGUGGGGAAUAUUGCACAAUGGGCGCAAGCCUGAUGCAGCCAUGCGGCGUGUAUGAAGAAGGCCUUAGGGUUGUAAAGUACUUUCAGUCGGGAGGCGUUACCGACAGAAGAAGCACCGGCUAACUCCGUGCCAGCAGCCGCGGUAAUUC